rnacentral:rRNA from 1 species
UAAGCGGAGGAAAAGAAACUAACAAGGAUUCCCCUAGUAACUGCGAGUGAAGCGGGAAAAGCUCAAAUUUAAAAUCUGGCGGUCUUUGGCCGUCCGAGUUGUAAUUUAGAGAAGCGUCUUCCGCGCUGGACCGUGCACAAGUCUCCUGGAAUGGAGCGUCAUAGAGGGUGAGAAUCCCGUCUUUGGCACGGAUGCCUGGUGCUUCUGUGAUGCGCUCUCGAAGAGUCGAGUUGCUUGGGAAUGCAGCUCAAAAUGGGUGGUGAACUCCAUCUAAAGCUAAAUAUUGGCGAGAGACCGAUAGCGAACAAGUACCGUGAGGGAAAGAUGAAAAGCACUUUGGAAAGAGAGUGAAACAGUACGUGAAAUUGUUGAAAGGGAAACGCUUGAAGUCAGUCGCGUCGACCGAGACUCAGCCUUGCCUUGGCUUGGUGUACUUCUCGGCCCGACGGGUCAGCAUCAAUUUUGCCCCUCGGAUAAUGGCAAGGGAAAGGUGGCACCUUUACGGGUGUGUUAUAGUCUCCUGUCGAAUGCGAGGGGUGGGAUUGAGGAACUCAGCGCGCACCUCAGUGUCGGGGCUUCGGCCCACGUCACGCGCUUAGGAUGCUGGCGUAAUGGCUUUAAACGACC